GCCUGGUCUCCCCGCUCGGAGCGAGCAGUCUCUGUUGAGACAGCAAGGCUCGAGGACGGCCUGCGGAGUUCUCAGCGGUGAAGGGAGGCCAGAACUUACUCUAAAGAAAACUACAGAGAUGGGAUAGCUUUGUUUGAAAUGUCAAAAAAUUGGUUAAAUGAUAUAUUUAUACAUUGGAAUCUAAUGAAACCAUUAAAAAGAGGAUUCCCAGUUCCUCAAGACAGUGGUGGAUAAAAUGAAGGGACACAUCCUUGCCAUGGGCAGAAUCUUCUGCCUCAGGAGCAUCUGAGAGUGCUACUUCAUGGAAUGAUUUAUUAUGCAACGGCCACAUUCUUCC